rnacentral:rRNA from 2 species
UACGAAGGGGGCUAGCGUUGUUCGGAAUUACUGGGCGUAAAGGGCGCGUAGGCGGUGCUGUAAGUCAGGCGUGAAAUCCCCGGGCUCAACCUGGGAAUUGCGCAUGAUACUGCGGCGCUGGAAUGCGGGAGAGGAUGGCGGAAUUCCCAGUGUAGAGGUGAAAUUCGUAGAUAUUGGGAAGAACACCGGUGGCGAAGGCGGCCAUCUGGCCCGUGAUUGACGCUGAGGCGCGAAAGCGUGGGGAGCAAACAGG